UCAGACGAUGCGUCAUGCAUAUCAAUAAGCGGAGGAAAAGAAACUAACAAGGAUUCCCCUAGUAACGGCGAGUGAAGCGGGAAGAGCUCAAAUUUGAAAUCUUAAAGGGUUUCCCUUUACGAAUUGUAGUUUAAAGAAGUGUUUUCUGCUGAGGUUUUGGUAAAAGUUCUUUGGAAUAGGACAUCAUAGAGGGUGAGAAUCCCGUAUUUGACCUUUACUUUCAACUUUGUGAUACACUUUCAAAGAGUCGGAUUGUUUGGGAAUGCAGUCCAAAAUGGGUGGUAAAUUUCAUCUAAAGCUAAAUAUUGGCGAGAGACCGAUAGCGAACAAGUACCGUGAGGGAAAGAUGAAAAGAACUUUGAAAGGAGAGUUAAACAGUACGUGAAAUUGUCAAAAGGGAAGCGUUUGACACCAGUGUUGUUUUUCUGAAAAUCAAUUAAAGAAGCUGUUUAUGCUAAGCUGUUUAGACUUUAUCAGCUAUCUGUUUAGUUUUGAGCUUUUCUUUAAUGCACUUUUCAGUUAACAAGUCAACAUCAAUUUCUUUUGCUGUAAAAAAGCUUGAGGAAGGUGGCUUGAGAUUCGUCUUAAGUGUUUAUAGCCUCUUGCCUAUGCAGUCGGAGAGAUUGAGGUCUGCAGCGUAGAUCCUUCGGGGCUAAAUGCAUUUGUGCUAAGUUAUAGCAUUUUAUAGACAACUUGUUGACUAUGAUUUGUCUUGUAGCUUACUCGCUUAUGUUAUUUUACCUACGCUUAGGAUGUUGACACACGCGCGUGCUCG
rnacentral:rRNA from 1 species